GUAGGGCGCGAGCGUUGUCCGGAUUUAUUGGGCGUAAAGAGCUCGUAGGCGGCUUGUCGCGUCGACUGUGAAAACCCGCGGCUCAACCGUGUGGUCUGCAGUCGAUACGGGCAGGCUAGAGUUCGGUAGGGGAGACUGGAAUUCCUGGUGUAGCGGUGAAAUGCGCAGAUAUCAGGAGGAACACCGGUGGCGAAGGCGGGUCUCUGGGCCGAUACUGACGCUGAGGAGCGAAAGCGUGGGGAGCGAACAGGAUUAGAUACCCUGGUAGUCCACGCUGUAAACGUUGGGCGCUAGGUGUGGGGGGCCUCUCCGGUUCUCUGUGCCGCAGCUAACGCAUUAAGCGCCCCGCCUGGGGAGUACGGCCGCAAGGCUAAA
rnacentral:rRNA from 1 species